UACGUAGGGGGCAAGCGUUGUUCGGAUUUACUGGGCGUAAAGGGCGCGUAGGCGGCAAUUCAAGUCAUCUGUGAAAUCUCCGGGCUUAACUCGGAACGGUCAGAUGAUACUGCUUUGCUAGAGUGCGGAAGGGGCAAUCGGAAUUCUUGGUGUAGCGGUGAAAUGCGUAGAUAUCAAGAGGAACACCUGAGGUGAAGACGGGUUGCUGGGCCGACACUGACGCUGAGUGCGCGAAAGCCAGGGGAGCAAACGGG
rnacentral:rRNA from 1 species